UACGUAGGGUCCGAGCGUUGUCCGGAAUUACUGGGCGUAAAGAGCUCGUAGGCGGUCUGUCGCGUCGGGAGUGAAAACUCAGGGCUUAACCCUGAGCCUGCUUCCGAUACGGGCAGACUAGAGGUAUGCAGGGGAGAACGGAAUUCCUGGUGUAGCGGUGAAAUGCGCAGAUAUCAGGAGGAACACCGGUGGCGAAGGCGGUUCUCUGGGCAUUACCUGACGCUGAGGAGCGAAAGUGUGGGGAGCGAACAGG
rnacentral:rRNA from 1 species